AGGCGCAUUAGUAGCCUUAGAACACUUUGAUACAAGGAAGCUAAUCGUGAGUACACGUCCAUCAAAAGGCAAGAGACAGGAAUAUAAUCUAUAGGUAGAUAGCAUUAUAGAAACAACUGACUGUAUUUCUUACUUUAAACAUGUCAAUAGUCACUGAGGAGUCAAGCAUGGAGCCACCAUGCGCCACAAGAGGGUGAUAUUCUACAAGUAACAGUAACCCGUGUGAACGCGCACAAUUUAUCUCCACAACCCGUUCUACAGUUUACUAACUGCCUUCAGAACGUUGAGUCAAACAGGCAACACUUUCAACGAUGAUUUAUGUAGAAUCUCCAGUAGAAUGAUGGCAAGAAGGAGGUAUAGUCCUCCAUGUCCGACUAUUCCAGGAUGUGAGAGUUUAAUUAAAUCGAUGUUUGUAUUUAGUGGGAUUACUGCACAAUGUGGUAUGGUGGAACAUUGAAUGUCCAGUUUGGUAAUUUGGUGGAAAUUUCGUGCUGAGAGAGAAACCUGACCAAUGUGGUCGCUGCCUUCCAAGUUUCAUGUUCAACCCUUGGACGCAUAUUCGGCGGUUUGAUAAGGAGACGGAGUAGAUACAGUCCGAGAGGACUGGUGAUUUCGGUUCACAAACCGUGUGGAUGUAUGAGACUUCUUUAUUGAAACGUGUCGUUCAAGAUAAAACGAUGCGUUUUCCUACGGGAUGAAUUUUAUAUUCAUGGAGGGAAACUCAUCCAGUCCUACUUUUCCAAGAGUCUUUUUGAAGCACAGGGGAAGAUAUAAGUAGGGCAGCAUCGGAGCAUGGCUGACUGUCUGGACUAUUUCAGCGCAGCUCAGUUCAGACAAGAAUCGGCUUCCUAGCCGUCGCUUCUUAACCAGGGGCCAAGUCCCCCUCCGGCACAUUCCUCCUUCACCACCACCUCUCUCCCCUCCUCUCUGAGAUCAAUGCUCCAUUAAUUAUAUAAUGGGAUGCGUCAAAUCCAAGAAGAGCGAUCCGAUCCAGUACGCCAACUCGGUGAAGGCGGACGGCAAUCCUGGGAAGUGGCAGGGCGAGAACGCGCUGCUGGUCCACUAUGAGACGGGGUCCGCGGACGACUCUGCCCGGGUGGACCCCAUUCUGCUGGAGUAUGCCCAGCGGCUGUCCGAGGAGAUAGUGGCCCGGGCCGUGCAGCAGUGGUUGGAGGUGGACAGCCGCUACAUUGACAUCCCCUACAUUGAGUGUGAUGUGCCAUGAGGGGGAGGGGGAGGGGCAUCGGUCUACUGGAGAGGCAUUGCCAGAGAGUGUUAUUUCUGUUAUGGGAUUCACCUUGAACCUCUGGGGAAAAGAGGACUACUGGAUGCCCAACAGACAGACAGACAGACAGACAUCACUCUCCUUCAGGUUGAAACAAUACACUACGAAGAUCUACUAGCUGAUGCAAGAUGUUGAUGACAUUCUAUGGACCAAAGCCAUUUUUCUGUUUAAUUCAUACUUGGACAAAGACCUUGGUUAAUCCUCUCAUUUUCAAUCCAGACGAUGUGCUGGUCUCCAUCGUUAUCUAGAUGAUGAGAGUUCCGAGCUGGGGUGUGUGAUAUCUUUGUCUUGGGAGCCGAUAAAGCAGAAGAGUAUCAUUGAAUCCUGCUUUGAAAAUGACCGGUUCUGCCUUUCAGUGAAUAUCUAUCGUUUCCGCUUGACGCGUGCCAUCCUGCGGCCAAAUAGCAGGUCCGAUGUAGGAAGUUAUUUAUUAGUACCUCAAAUGGCCAAUGUUUUUCACUUGAGAUUUUUUGCUGGAGUCAGCAGGUACAUGCCUCCCUCUCCAUCUGUCUGCCCAGACAGAAGCUCCCAGUUCAGGGUUCUUGGAUAAUGGCAUCCCAGGGGGCCUGUGGUCGACCAACAAAGGAGAGCUCAUUAUUCAUCCUGCCCACCUACCCAUUAAGCAUGUACGACGACGAGCUGCAGCAACCAAGGGCCUGACAACGGUCACUUUGACGAAAUUAUGCUCUACGAACAUGGCCGUGGGAAGCUGUUUUGGGUUGGGGGUGCUGAUGAGUAUUUUUGUCCACUCAUAUAGGAGUAAUAAAGGCCAAGUUCACUAAGGAUGUUUUUUCGAUUUAUCAGGGGGUGCUGCAGCACCCUCAGCAUCCCUACUUCCUGCGGCUAUGUUUAGGAAUGUUUUACAGAGGUUCAGCACCCUCCCAUUCUAUGAAUUUGAAUGACAUUGACAAUAGCACAUCCCUGAGGGCUGGCUAAGUCCCCCAUGCCUCGAGGAAAUCAGGACACGAGGAUGGAUUGACACACUUUUACUGAGACUUGGCUUUUGUACACAAAACGAGUUCUGGGUUCACAAAUACAUUUUGCUUUCGCCAAAAUGUCUUGGGCCAAGCACCCUGGUUUUAACAUACUGUGUUCUACAUAAUGAGGAACUGCUGCCAUCCGCCCCAUAGAAUUUACAGCACAAAUAUGCAACUCUCAAAGGCCAUGGUAUUUUUAUUGAGAGCAAAUGGCUUCUUAAAAUAGUGAUGCUAUUUUAACAGGCCAUAGGCACACAUAAGCACAAUGGAGAGUUGAGUUGUUUGGAAAAGGAGAACAACUGUCAAAGUCUUUAAUGAAUGGUAGUACAAGCACAAUACGCUUGAUGGGCUUUCGUAUGGCGUUUAUAAGAUAGGUCAUAUCAGUGGGUUUUAGUCAGUCAUGGCAGGUCAGUUCCUACCAUACCACAACUGAUGUUCAAGACGCUUUAAAUGACGAAUGAGUCAAGGCUGGGCAAGAUGGUACAUUUCACAGAGCAUUAAAUCAGGGUGCCAUUGUAUACACACCACAAAGAACAAGUACACAUUAUUUCACCGGCUAAGGAAGUUUGACGUGUGCAUCUCAAGUAAGAGUCGGCUGCUAAGCCAUUAGUAAAGGAAAUGGUAGUGGUGUGCCUCAAAUGCUACACCCAAAAAUCCAUUACAGUUAAAAGCAACAAAUAUAUAACGGCAUUUUCACUAAUCUGGGUUGAAAGAUGAAUCUCUUGAACCCAUUCAAUUAUGUAAACCAAUUGAAAAGCUUAGCGGUGACAACAUCCCCCCCCAUACUGUAUUCCUAAAUCUAAGAACUGGACAGAUCACAGAUCACUGUUGUUACUGCCUCAGCUAAUGUUUUAAACAAUUUUACAGAUCAAGCUGCAAAAAACACAAUGAAAUCAAACAAAAAAAAUCCAUCAAGCUUGAUUUUCACUCGGAUGAAUUGGUUGAUACAAGUCGUUUUACUAUGCAGGAGACAGCUAGCACUGCAUGCCAUAUAUCAAGCCCCUAUCAUCGUAAUAAAACAGUGAUAGCCUUCUAUGGUAGAGGCAUUAUCUCUGCCUUUUAUUUUUUGUGUCUUUAUUUAACUAGGCAAGUCAGUUAAGAACAAAUUCUUAUUUUCAAUGACGGCCUAGGAACAGUGGGUUAACUGCCUGUUCAGGGGCAGAACGACAGAUUUGUACCUUGUCAGCUCAGGGAUUUGAACUUGCAACCUUUUGGUUACUAGUCCAACACUCUAAGCACUAGGCUACCCUGCCGCCCCAAGCUACCCAGCCUUUGAAGCUAUGUCGAACACAGAAUUCAAAUGCUUUGUAUAAUGAUGGUCAAUGUCGCAGUUCACAAUGCUUACAGCUUGACAUAAACACAAAGGUAUACCAAAGUAUGUACAAACGAGGUAUACCUGGAUUCCUUCCUUCUAAAUAUUUCAAUGUCGGGAACAGUUACAUCUUGUAACAUCAGUCUUCCAGUCAAGCCUUCAGUUUGAUUAUGGGCAACAACAAAAAAGAAAAGUAUGUUGGGAGAUCCUAAUGCUUCUUUUCCCCCCCAGCGUCUAAGGACUCAUCUAUAUUUAUAUCAUAUACCAUUUAACCUGCAGCACUGUACAGGUCUGUAAAUAAAUCAAUGACAAAAAAAUGUGACGACAAUAAAGCUGAAAUCUAUGCCUUCUACCAUUAUUUAAGUGACUUCAUCUCAUUUUUUGAGAAAGGGCCUUGGGGGAUUGGGGGGGGUUCAUUUCUGGGUAGCAAUUUAAGUACCUUACUGUAAUAGAUUUCCAUAAAAAUUAAAUUUAUCAAGCACCAUGCAUCCCCCUGUUGGCUUGCCUCUGAAGCUAAGCAAAGUCUGUCCUUGAAUGAGAGACCAGAUGCUGCUGGAAAUGGCAUUGGAGGGCCAGUAGGAGGUACUCUUUCCUCUGGUGUAAGGAGAUCCCAAUGCCCCAGAGUAGUGAUAGGGGACAUUGCCCUGUGUAGGGUGCCGUCUUUUGGAAGAGAGUUAUCGUAAGAGUAGGAGUGUUAACCCCGGUGUCCUUGCUAAAUUUCCAAUCUGACCCUCAUACCAUCAUCGCCAACUAAUCAUCCCCAGCUUCCUAUUGGCUUGUUCUUUCCCAAUCCUCCCCGUGUAACAAUUCUCCAGGUCGUUGCUGUAAAUGAGAAUGUGUUCAGUCAACUUACCUGAUAAAAUAAAAGCGAGAAUGUUAAAAGGACUGUCUGGGAGUAGUCUGAGUGGGAGGGGAAACUGAUAACUAGCUGUUAUGGGCAGAGAGGUUUGGACCAAUUUAUUAACCAAUUUACCGCAUGGUGAUGUCACCAUGGAAAAACAAAACUCCCACCCAUGCAAAUCUGCUGAUUAGAAGGUCCUGUGUAGAUUGCAUUUUCAACUAGCAACUAUCAGGAAAAAACACGGAUUAAAAAAAAUCACACUUUUACAACGUUAGCUUCAUUAGCUGUUGUACAAUAUGAUAUAAAACACAGGAAAACCUCAUUUUGAAUGCACUGUGCCUUUAAAAUAUUAUACAGUGCCUUCAGAAAGUAUUCGCCACACCCCUCGACUUUUUCAAAAAAAAAUUGCGUUACAGCUUGAAUUUGAAAUUGAUUAAAUUAAGUUAAUAAGUUGCAUAUACUCACUGUGUGCAAUAAUAGUGUUUAGCGUGAUUUUUGAAUGACUACCUCAUCUCUGUACUCCACACAUACAGAUAAUUGUAAGGUCUCUCAGUCGAGCAGUGAAUUUCAAACACAGAUUCAACCACAAAGACCAGGGAGGUUUUCCAAUCCCUCGCAAAGAAGUGCACCUAUUGGUAAAAAAACUUUUUUUUGAGUUGCCGAUGAGGAAUGAAACCACUCAGGGAUUUCACCAUGAGGCCAAUGGUGACUUUAAAACAGUUACAGAGUUUAAUGGCUGUGAUAGGAAAAAAACAGAAGGAUCAACAACACUAUAGUUACUGCACAAUACAAACCUAAUUGACAGAGUGAAAAGAAGGAAGCUUGUACAGAAGACAAAUAUUCCAUAACAUCCAUCAUGUUUGCAACAAGGCACUAUAGUAAAACUGCAAAAAAUGUGGCUAAGCAAUUAACUUUUUUGUCCUGAAUAUAAAGUGUUAUGUUUAGGGCAAAUCCAAUACAACACAUUACUGAGUACCACUCUCCAUAUAUUCCAGAAUAGUGGUAGCUGCAUCAUGUUAUGGGUAUGCUUGUAAUCAAUAAGGACUGGGGAGUUUUUCAGGAUAAAAAAAUAAACGGAAUGGAUCUAAGCACAGGCAAAAUCCUAGAGGAAAACCUGGUUCAGUCUGUGUUCCGCUAGACAGUGGGAGAUUAAUUCACCUUUCAGCAGGACAAUAACCUAAAACCUGGAGUUGCUUAUCAAGAAGACAGUUAAUGUUCCUGAGUGGCUAAGUUACAGUUUUGACUUAAAUCUGCUUAAAAAUAUAUGGCAAGACUUGAAAAUGGUUGACUAGCAAUGAUCAACAACUAAUUUGACAGAGUUAGAAGAAUUUUGAAAAUAAUGGGCAAAUAUUGUACAAUACAUGUGUGCAAAGCUCUUAGCCGCCAAUGCUAAUUCUAACAUGUAUUGACUCAGGGUUGAGAAUACUUAUGCAAAUGAGAUAUUUCUGUAUUUCUUUUUAAUUUUUUUUAAUCUAAAAUGUCUAAACACAUUAUGGGGUAUUAUGUGUAGAUGGGUGAGAGAAAAACAUCUAUUUAAUCCAUCCAACCAAUCAAUUCAUCCCGACUACUUCCGAAAUGGUCAGGAAGAUCUGAUCACAAUUAGUUAUUUUAAUCGUCUACACCUUUUAAAAAAUGUGGGCACAAUCAGAAUGUGGGCAAGAUCAGGACACAGGAUGCCAGCUAGCACCCUGUAGAAAUGGGGCUAUUGAUCCUGAGCAUCAGCCAAGGUUAUUAUCCAAUAAUGAUCCUAACCCUUACCUUAGUCUCGUUUUAUCAGAUCUCAACACUGCAGAGGCGGCAGUGGGAGGAGCUAUAGGAGGACGGGCUCAUUCCAUUACAAUGAGCUCAUCCUCUUUUAGCUUCUCCCACCAGCCUCCCCUGCAACACUGUAUUCGCAUUUGAGAAUGGCUUGACACACCUAGGAUGGCUGGAAUCAAGGCUACCUUUACACUAACCUUAACCAAUUUCAAUUCCCAUGUAGCUAUUGCCUAACCUUAACCUUUGGAUCUGCCGUCUAAAUAUCCACUACUUACGGUUUAAACUGAGAUUUCAUCAUGUGGGCAACCGUUGCCUAUCCAGAUCCAACAGCUCCCUCUGCACCUGUAUUAUGUCCCUGUAACAUUUAUUUAACCGUUAGAUUAGCAGAUAGAUGGUCAGGUCCAGAUGUCGUGUAAAUUACUUAAUGGAAUUAAUGGAUCACACCGACUAGCUUUGAUAUAGUGGCUCAGAAGCUUUAGGACAGGGUUCGUCAACUAGGUUUAGCCUCGGGCCCCAAAAAAAUCUGAGCCAAUAGUCGGCAAGCCAGAACAUAAUUAGCAUAUAUUAGUACAAUUAAUAGGCCUACACUACAAAUUGAACAGAACAACAUUAACACGUCAGAUUAGUACAUAAUUAAUUCAGUGACAAUAACAAUAAUUUAGAUCUGAUUAAGCUCAUAAAAUCACCAAUGUCUCUAUUCAAUUAUUAUUCUUAGUCCAUUUCUCUGUGCUUUGAUUGGUGGGGAAAAACAGGUCUACUGAACGUAGCCUAAUGUAGUCCACAACUUUUUUUUUUUAUGUCAACAUUUUUAACCUCAUUGAGAAUUCUGCACUGU